CUCACCUCCGUCAGUGUCCACGUACUUUCCCCUCAUUUUCAGGCCGCAUCCCACUAAAGCCCCACGUCACGCUCCCGUCCACUCCCCUUGGCUGCUCCAUCUUUCCUCCAUACCGUCCCCAUCGCCCUGAGAUUCGGCACGCCGGCAAACCCGCCAGCACGAAUUGACAUGUAAGACUUGGAUAUGGGUCGACCUGGUGAUAGAUUAUGUCGACGCCAUGGUGGAGUAUGAAGACCGAUGAACACCCAGCUGGAGCGGAAGACCGAUGAGCUCGCUGGCGUUAGAUUUGAGCUGAACCUGCUGCGCCGCCGGAUGGAGAUUGAGAUUCUUCAGUACGAGUCCAAGGUGGCCAUCCUGGAACGCGGGGCUCACAAGAUGAGGACUUUUCGCUCACUGGUCUCUGUUCUUGUUUUGAUGUUGCUUGUAGCGCCAGUUAAUUGCUCCACGAUUGUCAACUGGGCGCUUUUGGUGACGGUAGGAGCUAUGUACGCAAAUCAGGCUGCUGCAAGACCAAUUCUGUUAGGUUAAUUUGGCUUCCCUUUUUCAAUUCUGUAUGUGGGCGCCCCGCUAAUGGCAAUUGGGGGCGCAGGCUAUGCAAUUCAAGUCACGUGAGUCGCAGGUAAAAUCUGAUUUUUAUUUUUGUCUCUGUCGUAAACUACAGCAUUAAGCACAUCGAAUUUGGGGUCUGAUUA